AUUGAACGCUGGCGGCAGGCCUAACACAUGCAAGUCGAACGAGUGGCGGACGGGUGAGUAAUGUCUGUGAAACUGCCUGAUGGAGGGGGAUAACUACUGGAAACGGUAGCUAAUACCGCACACCAUCAGCUGUGCCCAGAUGGGAUUAGCGAGUUGGGGGGGUAACGGCUCACCAAGGCGACGAUCCCUAGCUGGUCUGAGAGGAUGACCAGCCACACUGGAACUGAGACACGGUCCAGACUCCUACGGGAGGCAGCAGUGGGGAAUAUUGCACAAUGGGCGAAAGCCUGAUACAGCCAUGCCGCGUGUAUGAAGAAGGCCUUCGGGUUGUAAAGUACUUUAAGCGGGGAGGCGUUACCAGCAGAAGAAGCACCGGCUAACUCCGUGCCAGCAGCCGCGGUAAUUC
rnacentral:rRNA from 1 species